CUAAUUAUUUUAUUUCUCUUGUGUUUCAUAGACUGUUCUUGCAACCACUGUUUUUUUUUAUGUAAUUAUUGUGAGAUUUGAUUCAUAAGAAGCCAAAUAGUCAGAACGUGAAUAUUGGGCUCGCUUGAUUUUGGUACCGCCUCAACCACCUCCAGUUUGUCUUUAUGUCUUGUUCUUUUUUGUCAUAUCAUUUAUUUUAGUCAGGCUGUGGCUGGAUCACUUGAAAAGGGGGCUUAGUAGUUGCACCCCUCACGUGUAUGGGAUUCCUUCCCUGUGUGCGGUGUAAAUAAGUUAACCCUUGUGUUAACUCUUGUAGUGUGUAGUGUACAGCCCUGAGUUGGCCCAGCUUGCCGUUCGGUGUAAACAAGUUAACCCUUGUAGUGUGUAGUGUACGGCCCUGAGUUGGCCCAGCUUGCUGUGCUGUGUACAGUUAACCCUUGCAGUGUGUAGUGUACGGUCCUGAGUUGGCCCAGCUUGUAGUUAUACCGGGUGGGUGUAUUAUUAGUGGGGUUAGCACAGUACUGGCCCGGGUGAUUUGCCACAGUCGGCUGACUUAGUUAUUUUCUGUUAAGUUGUUAGUUUUCUGUUUAUUCUUUUUUUCUUGUUUGUUAAUAAAAUUGAUAUUAUUUUUGCACAUCAGCCUCCUCCUUUUAUUAAUUCAUUCAAUUGAAUACCCUUGACCUGUUGAGUACCCACUAGUGGCCAUUGGUGGGGUUACAUUUGGCGCUGCGAGCAGGAUUGGAGGCUGUGUGCUUUAUUUUUGUUUUAUUGCAUUUCGUUUAUUUUUCUGGAGGUGGUUAGAAGUGAGCCAUGGCAGAGUAGUAAAAAAAAAAAAAAAAAAAAAAAAAAAAACAGUGGUUGCAUUUAGGAGCACGAACUACCCAUCGCUCUCAAGCACCCCACCUCUCGUACUGAAGCAAGUCACCCAUCGAGCUCAAGCACGCCAGGUCUCUCUCCAGCAUGUCGGACCCUGAGAGCCUGGAGGCUCUGGUGAGGGCCUUCACAGACUUGACGAAACAGCAGCAGGCUGUCAACGAGCAGCUUCAAGGUAGCCAACCCUCUCUGGACGGAGGGGUGGCAUCACAGCGGCCGUUUUUCCAGACUGCUGUCACAGUAUCAGGUCUGACUGCUACAGAAAAGAGGCCAGUUGAGAACAUUUCGGUAGAGGACUGGAGCGAAGAAGCAUAUCGGUCUCUCUUGGCCUGUCCAGGUCCUCCAUUGGAAAAGACUUUGCUUGUGUGUGAUGUGUUGGGUGGGGAAGCUGGGGGGGUAGUAGAGUUCAGUCCACCAGGUAUUUUAAAAGAGAAUUUCCUCUGUUUUAAGUCUCUUAAUACGCUUUACCGCCAGUUUUAUCACCGCCGGCAGCAGGAAGUUAGUGCUUAUUCAUGUAAGUCUUGCCUGUGUCUUAAUUACGAAGGACACAACGCCAGUGUAUGUCAGGCCGCCCUUCCACCAGAGCCAGAGCCAGGGCCAGGGCCCGGGCCCGGGCCAGUGCCUCACAGUGGGGGGCCCGCUGAGGAUGUAGCCUGCUGUAGUGUUGGGCCACAGGAAAACUAGCGCCCUCUGGUGCCGUGAGCCAGGCACUGGCAGGGGACUUGUUGGGCUCAGUGGAACAGUCGGCUCCAUCGUCUUCACAGCGUAGUGGGAACUACUCCAUCAUCGACGUUCGUUUUGGAGGGGUGACUACACGCUGCCAUUUACAUAAUGGAUCGAUGGCGACUGCAGCAACAGAGGAUUCCGUCAACCCGUGUUUACAGCCACGAAGGGGAGAUGCCAUGCGAAGGCCACAGGAAAACUAGCGCCCUCCAGUGUUGAGUCAGACACUGGGAGGGGCUUGGUUGUGAUCAGAGGAACAGUCAGCUUCGAGCUCAGUGUAGUGGAAACUGCCCCAUCAUCGACGUUCGUUUUGCGGAAAGACCACACGCUACCUGUUAAAGACAGGCUCGAUGGCGACUGCAACAACAGAGAACUCUUUCAAUUUGUGUGUACAGCCAUAGAUUGGAGAAGUUAUGCAGCCAUGUGAUUGGCUUCGGAGAAAGGUGGAUAAUGGACUGGACAUUCCGUACCUGGGCUACCUGGAACUGGGCUUGGAGGUCCUGGGUAGAGUGCUACCGAACACUGGAGUACUCGCAGUAAAAGACUCCCUUGACCCUACUACCAAGAAGCAGAAGAAGUCUGUCCCUGUCCCAGGUCUGCUCAGGAAGACAGUUGGCUGUUGUUUAAGUGCAUGUUCAAGAGUCGGGGGAAAACGGUGCAACUCUACUCAGUGCAGCCCCUAGGCCUCAGGAAAGGAGGGUAGAGUGCUAUCGACGACCGGAGUACUCGCAGUGAAAGACUCCCUCGACCCUAUUACCAAGUGACAGAAGAAGUCUGUUCGAGAGGAACGCCAUCCACAGCUGUAACCAAGAACUCUUCCCAGCCGUGGCACUAGUGGUCACCGGGACGGUGCCCUUAAAAAGUGGGGGAAUAUGUGACGGGCACGUGCCCUGGCCCUUUAAAUCUUGGUUUGGUCCCGAUUGGUUGGCAGCCCUGCACUGGUCACAUGACCUGGUAGCUCCAAUUUUCUUUGUUCUUUUAAACCACACACUCGCGGCAAACGCGAGGAGAGAAGCACCCUGUACACUUUAGCUGCCGGCGGUGAAAGAAAAGCCCUUUUUCAUUUACGUGGGUACCGCUGCAAGUUUUAAACAGUUUUAAUCAGUAGCUUACGGAACAGAAUCGCACAUUGGAGACCCAUGUCUGUGGACUGAACUUUUAUACAGAGGUUGCCUACCAUUUCCUUGUGCUGACCGGACAGAAAGCGAGUACAAACCACAAAGUAACAAGGUAGUUUAAGUUUUAUCUACACAUCGUGGUGUAACUCCUUUUAAAUUACUAUGUGUUUGUGUGUGAGACUAAUUAUUUUAUUUCUCUUGUGUUUCAUAGACUGUUCUUGCAACCACUGUUUUUUUUUAUGUAAUUAUUGUGAGAUUUGAUUCAUAAGAAGCCAAAUAGUCAGAACGUGAAUAUUGGGCUCGCUUGAUUUUGGUACCGCCUCAACCACCUCCAGUUUGUCUUUAUGUCUUGUUCUUUUUUGUCAUAUCAUUUAUUUUAGUCAGGCUGUGGCUGGAUCACUUGAAAAGGGGGCUUAGUAGUUGCACCCCUCACGUGUAUGGGAUUCCUUCCCUGUGUGCGGUGUAAAUAAGUUAACCCUUGUGUUAACUCUUGUAGUGUGUAGUGUACAGCCCUGAGUUGGCCCAGCUUGCCGUUCGGUGUAAACAAGUUAACCCUUGUAGUGUGUAGUGUACGGCCCUGAGUUGGCCCAGCUUGCUGUGCUGUGUACAGUUAACCCUUGCAGUGUGUAGUGUACGGUCCUGAGUUGGCCCAGCUUGUAGUUAUACCGGGUGGGUGUAUUAUUAGUGGGGUUAGCACAGUACUGGCCCGGGUGAUUUGCCACAGUCGGCUGACUUAGUUAUUUUCUGUUAAGUUGUUAGUUUUCUGUUUAUUCUUUUUUUUCUUGUUUGUUAAUAAAAUUGAUAUUAUUUUUGCA